UAUUUGUGUUCUAAAGCGACUUUAAAUAGAUUAUUUUAUGAAUGUUGUCGCAUAUUUAAGUCCACGUGUGCUCACAAGUGAUGUCGGUGGCUAUGCUAUGGCGUUAGCCGCUACAUUGGCUGCUUCCACUUGUCACGUGAUCAAAAGGAACAAGAUCCACACAAACAAAAGCUGUGCUGCACCAUCCGGCCCCCCCCGUCACCACCUGGUUUCCCCCCGGACCGGUUUGGGACCAAAGCCUCCGGAUGUCGGAUGGAGACGAUCAGGCAAGGCAUCAAAGGGACGCCCAGUGGCCAUUAAAGCCCCCACCCCCUCGUCCUCCUUGCCCCCAAGCCAGAGGUCGCUUGCACAUGUUCCAGAAGGGAAGGCUAACAAACCUAGCUUGGUAUUAGCGCAACUCAACCGAUGUCAUCGGGAGUUUAUGUGACAAAAACAUGUCUGUGAAAUAUUAAAUAUUUAAAAUCGCUAGUUCGUGCCAGGAGAAAACACGGGGGUGGGUGGUUAGCUUUAUAGUGAAGGCGUGAACUGUGCCGAGGAAACUCAAAACUGUACAUAUUCGCUUUUGCUGAAAAGAUAAUCUGUAAUGUGUUCUUUAAUUUUAAUUCAACUGCAAAAACACUCAAAUAAAACCAAAAAAGCACAAUCUAUGUCAUUCAAAAUGAUUUAAAAUAUUUUAAUAGUGUGUAAUAAAAAGUUCUGGUACCAAAACAGAAAUCCUGUAUCCAAUAUAUUUUAACUUGAGCUGGGGAAAAAGAAUAUAUUAACUAUUCAAAUGACAAAUUCUUCAGUAUUUGCUGUUUUGGGUAAAAAUAGUUUAGAACAUUUGGAGACACUUUAAUUUUUUGCUUUUGGAAUUUGGACAUUCGUGUUCCAAAUGUUGUGAAUUUAUAUCUUUACCCAAAACACAACAUAUUCGGUUGCAUUCUUGGUAAAAUAAUAUAAGUAUGUAAAAGUAUGUAGAUAAGAUUGCAAGAAAAAGUAUGUGGUCCAUUUGGAGUUACCUGGGUUUUUGCAUAAACUAGAAAUGUGAUCUUCUCUUCAUCUAAAUCGUAACAAAAAACAAAAACUGUUUUAUGGGACACACCAGGGUGACAGCAUUCAUGGUACUGUGUGGAAAAAGUACACGAACCUUUGGAUGUAAUCAGUGGUUGAGCCUCUUUUGGAAACAAUUAACUCGACCAAACGCUUUCUCUAGCUGCAGAUCCCACCUAUACCACAAUCAGAGGGAAAUUCAAACCAUUCAACUUCCAAAAUUGUUUCAAUUCUUUCAAUCUUCUUGGAACGUCUGCUGUAAAUCGUUGCCUCGAGGUCAUGCCACGGCCUCUAAAUCGAGUUGAGUUCAGGAUUUCGAUUUAGCCACGCCAAUAUUUUCUUCCGUUUAAACAUUUUGCUUCUUUCCUAUUAUUGGCGUUCUGAUGCUGAGCUCCAUUUGGCAAAUUUUCUGUUCAGCUCCAAAAUAUCGUGAUCAAAUUGAGAAUUCCAUUCACUUUUGAGUUGAUGAUCCAGUCCAGGCCCUGAGGAAGCGAAGCUGCCCCACGCACGAUGCCCUCUCCACAAUACUUCAUUGACUAGAUGAGUUUUUGAUGGUUGUGUGCAAACUCAUCUUCUUUUUUUGUUUUUUAUUUAUUGACUCAACUUUGUUUUUAUCUUGCCAUUACCUCUGAAAAGGCCUUUGCCGUGUUUCGUCAACAUCAGACCUGUA